AUGAUUAACUCCUACAGGUCUGGCUGUGUGGAAAAUACAGAUCUGCCUGAAGGAGAAAAAAACCCAAUUGACCAGAGAUUGGAAGGCAUUGUGAAUAAAAUGUUCCCACGAUGUCUAGAUGACCGCAAGUAUAAGCAGGCUAUCAGCAUCGCUGUGGAGACAAGAAGAUUAGAUGUCUUUGAGAAGACCAUACUAGACUCAAAUGAUGUCCCGGGAAUGCUAGUUUAUAGCCUCAAGCUCUGCAUGUCUUUAAUGCAGAAUAAACAGUUCCAGAAUAAAGUACUGAGAGUCCUAGUUAAAAUCUACAUGAACUUGGAGAAACCUGAUUUCAUCAAUGGUUGUCAGUGCUUAAUAUUCUUAGAUGAUCCUCAAGCUGUGAGUGACAUCUUAGAAAAACUGGUGAAGGAAGACAACCUCCUCAUGGCCUAGCAGAUCUGCUUUGAUUUGUAUGAAAGUGCCAGCCAGCAGUUUCUGUCCUCCGUGAUCCAGAAUCUUGGAACUGUGGGCACCCCCAUUGCCUCUGUGCCUGGCUCCACCAACACAGGCACUGUUCCAGGUUCUGAGAAAGAGUGAGAUGAUGGAGACAGAAGACAAGACAGGCUGUACACUUGCUGGAAAGACACCAGAUGCGCAGAGUCCAGAGCCCAAGGACCAGACUUUGAAAAUGAUUAAAAUUUUAAGAGGUGAAAUGGCUAUUGAGUUACAUCUGCAAUUUCUAAUACGGAAUAAUAACACAGACCUCAUGAUUCUAAAAAAUCACAAAGGAUGCAGUACGGAAUUCAGUAUGCCACACAGCAACUGUCAUAGCAAACUCCUUCAUGCACUGUGGGACUACCAGUGACCAGUUUCUUAGAGAUAAUUUGGAAUGGUUGACCAGAGCCACUAACUGGGCUAAAUUUACUGCUACAGCCAGUUUGGGUGUAAUUCCUAAGGGUCACGAGAAGGAAGCAUUGCAGUUAAUGGCAACCUACUUCCCCAAAGACAUGUCUCCAGGGUCAGCCUACCAGGAAGGUGGGGGGCUCUAUGCACUAGUGCUCAUCCAUGCCAAUCAUGGUGGCGACAUAAACGAUUACCUGCUGAAUCAGCUCAAGAAUGCCAGCAACGAUAUCGUUCGGCAUGGAGGCAGCCUGGGCAUUGGUUUGGCUGCCAUGGGAACUGCACACCAGGAUGUUUAUGAUUUGCUAAAAACUAACCUUUGCCAGGAUGAUGCUGUGACAGGAGAAGCAGCUGGCCUGGCCGUAGGUUUGGUUGUGUUGGGUUCUAAAAAUGCCCAGGCUAUCGAGGACAUGGUUGGCUAUGCCCAGGAAACCCAGCAUGAGAAGAUCCUGCGUGGUCUCGCCGUCAGCAUUGCCUUAGUGAUGUAUGGGAGGAUGGAAGAGGCUGAGGCACUCACUGAGUCUCUCUGUUGGGAUAAGGACCCAAUUCUUCAAAGGUCUGGAAUGUAUGCAGUGGCCAUGGCUUAUUGUGGCUCUGGUAACAACAAAGCUAUUCGACGCCUGCCCAUGUUGCUGUCAGCGAUGUUAAUGAUGAUGUUAGGAGGGCAGCAGUUGAAUCACUUGGCUUCAUUCUAUUCAGGACCCCUGAGCAGCAUCCCAGUGUGGUCUUUCUGUUGUUGGAGAGUUUCAACCCCCAUGUGUGCUAUGGAGCUGCGAUGGCCCUGGGUAUCUGCUGUGCUGGUACAGGAAACAAGGAAGCGAUUAAUUUGCUAGAACCAAUGACAAAUGACCCUGUGAACUACGCGAGGCAAGGGGCUCUAAUAGCCUCCACACUCAUCAUGAUCCAGCAGACUGAGAUCACGUGUCCAAAGGUGAAUCAGUUCCGACAGCUGUAUUCCAAAGUCAUCAAUGAUAAGCAUGAUGAUGUCAUGGCCAAGUCUGGCGCUAUUCUGGCCCAAGGCAUGCUAGAUGCAGGUGGCCAUAAUGUUACAAUCUCCUUACAGUCCAGAACUGGGCACACACAUAUGCCUUCUGUGAUUGGCGUCCUUGUCUUUACCCAGUUCUGGUUCUGGUUUCCUCUCUCACACUUUCUGUCAUUGGCUUAUACCCCUACCUGUGUCAUUGGCCUGAACAAGGAUUUAAAGAUGCCGAAGGUGAAGUAUAAAUCAAACUGUAAACCAUCCACAUUUGCGUAUCCUGCACCUCUGGGAGUACCAAAAGGAAAAGGUUUUUCUACUGCUGUGUUGUCUAUUACUGCCAAAGCCAAAAAGAAGAAAAAAGAAAAAGAAGAAAAGGAGGAAGAGAAAAUGGAAGUGGACAAAGCAGAGAAAAAAGAAGAAAAAGAGAAGAAAAAGGAACCUGAGCCUAAUUUCCAGCCAUUGGAUAACCCAGCCCAAGUUAUGCCUGCCCAGCUGAAGGUCCUCACCACGCCAGAGACCUGUAGAUACCAGCCUUUCAAGCCAUUGUCCAUUGGAGGCAUCAUCAUGCUGAACGACACCAGCGAAGACAUUGAGGAGCUUGUGGAAACUGUGGCAGCACAUGGCCCCAAAAUCAAGGAGGAAGAGCAAGAGCCAGAGCCCCCAGAGCCCUUUGAGUAUAUCGAUGACUAAGGGACCAGACGGG